rnacentral:rRNA from 1 species
ACGGGAGGCAGCAGUGGGGAAUAUUGCACAAUGGGGGGAACCCUGAUGCAGCGAUGCCGCGUGAAGGAAGAAGAUUUUCGGAUUGUAAACUUCUAUCAGCAAGGAAGAAAACGGACAGUACUUGAGUAAGAAGCCCCGGCUAACUACGUGCCAGCAGCCGCGGUAAUACGUAGGGGGCAAGCGUUAUCCGGAAUUACUGGGUGUAAAGGGUGCGUAGGCGGUAGAGCAAGUUUGAUGUGAAACCUAUGGGCUUAACUCAUAGCAUGCAUCGAAAACUACUAAACUAGAGUACAGGAGAGGAAAGCGGAAUUCCUAGUGUAGCGGUGAAAUGCGUAGAUAUUAGGAGGAACACCAGUGGCGAAGGCGGCUUACUGGACUGUAACUGACGUUGAGGCUCGAAAGCGUGGGGAGCAAACAGGAUUAGAUACCCUGGUA